GGAAUGUACUUGUGUUGCUUAAGAAAACCUUGAGACUGUGGAGGAACCUGACGCUCUUCUAGCUAUAACUCUCUGUCUUUGGGCAGAGCUCACCUUCAGCUGUACUGAGGCUGCAUCCUACAUUUAAGAUCGAACAGACUCUGCCACAUGGGCCUCCCCACCGCUCAGGUCUACUGCUUCAUAUUCAAAGCACAGGAUCCACUGUUUGAGGCACUUUCCUGGCAGAGCCCUCUGACACUGAAACUUGGCCAUGAGGUAGCUCUGAAUGACAGAAUAUGAGCACACCUGACAUAGGCUACUUCCAGUGGAGAUCUUUAAGCAUGUCAGAGUGAUUGGACUCUCCCUACCCUAAAGCUGCUUCUGUCUGUCAUAUUGAAAAUACUGGUAUCAGCUAGCGGCUGCUUCUGCUCUGUGUAAACCACAGUGGGAAGACACAGGGACGAAUACUCAGACACACCCUGGAGCCUGCAGCAGAGGCAGGGCUAAGCUGCAAGCCUCCCAAGCAAAGGAAAAGUGUUGGUUGUGCUGCAUCACUCAGAUCGAAACUAUUCACUGUCAAAGCACUCUUGCCCAAAACAUUUUUUUUUCCUAAGCAAGUCCACACAGCUACAAAUUACGGGAAAGACAAAUGACAGCAGAAUCACUCAAAUUACAACAGCAAAACCAGGCAAACGUUCCUGCUUCUUUGCAAAGAAAUAACAAAUAAGAGACAUGGUGGGGAGAAUUAUAGAUGGGGAGGAUGGGUGAGGAAUUCAACGAAUCAAAUUGAGCAUUAUGGCUUUAAUUUAUUCAGAAUGCUUUGAUGAAUACUUAACUUAAUUCUAACUUUUCAUUUU